ACAUUGGUGAUUCAGUGGUAAAAUUUUUAUUUUCCAUGCAAGAGAUCUGGGUUCAAUUUCUGGCCAAUAUA
rnacentral:tRNA from 1 species